AGUGAACGCUGGCGGUAGGCCUAACACAUGCAAGUCGAACGGCAGCACAGUAAGAGCUUGCUCUUACGGGUGGCGAGUGGCGGACGGGUGAGGAAUACAUCGGAAUCUACUUUUUCGUGGGGGAUAACGUAGGGAAACUUACGCUAAUACCGCAUACGACCUACGGGUGAAAGCAGGGGAUCUUCGGACCUUGCGCGAUUGAAUGAGCCGAUGUCGGAUUAGCUAGUUGGCGGGGUAAAGGCCCACCAAGGCGACGAUCCGUAGCUGGUCUGAGAGGAUGAGCAGCCACACUGGAACUGAGACACGGUCCAGACUCCUACGGGAGGCAGCAGUGGGGAAUAUUGGACAAUGGGCGCAAGCCUGACCCAGCCAUACCGCGUGGGUGAAGAAGGCCUUCGGGUUGUAAAGCCCUUUUGUUGGGAAAGAAAAGCAGCAGGUUAAUACCCCGCUGUUCUGACGGUACCCAAAGAAUAAGCACCGGCUAACUUCGU
rnacentral:rRNA from 1 species